rnacentral:rRNA from 1 species
AGUGAACGCUGGCGGUAGGCCUAACACAUGCAAGUCGAACGGCAGCACAGUAAGAGCUUGCUCUUACGGGUGGCGAGUGGCGGACGGGUGAGGAAUACAUCGGAAUCUACUUUUUCGUGGGGGAUAACGUAGGGAAACUUACGCUAAUACCGCAUACGACCUACGGGUGAAAGAAGGGGAUCUUCGGACCUUGCGCGAUUGAAUGAGCCGAUGUCGGAUUAGCUAGUUGGCGGGGUAAAGGCCCACCAAGGCGACGAUCCGUAGCUGGUCUGAGAGGAUGAUCAGCCACACUGGAACUGAGACACGGUCCAGACUCCUACGGGAGGCAGCAGUGGGGAAUAUUGGGCAAUGGGCGCAAGCCUGAUCCAGCCAUACCGCGUGGGUGAAGAAGGCCUUCGGGUUGUAAAGCCCUUUUGUUGGGAAAGAAAAGCAGCAGGUUAAUACCCCGCUGUUCUGACGGUACCCAAAGAAUAAGCACCGGCUAACUUCGUG